rnacentral:rRNA from 1 species
GAUGAACGCUGGCGGCGUGCCUAAUACAUGCAAGUCGAGCGAAGAGGGGACGGGUGAGUAACAUGUGGAUAACCUCCUAUAAGACUGGGAUAACUUCGGGAAACCGGAGCUUAUACGGAUACUUAUAGAAGGAUCCGCGCUGCAUUGGCUAGUUGGUAAGGUAACGGCUUACCAAGGCAACGAUGCAUAGCCGACCUGAGAGGGGGAUCGGCAACAAUGGAACUGAGACACGGUCCAGACUCCUACGGGAGGCAGCAGUGGGGAAUCUUCCGCAAUGGGCGAAAGCCUGAAGGAGCCACGCCGCGUUGGUGAUGAAGGCCUUCGGAUCGUAAGACUCUGUUAUUGGGGCAGCGGUACCUACUCAGAAGGCCACGGCUAACUACGUGCCAGCAGCCGCGGUAAUUC